rnacentral:rRNA from 1 species
UACGGGGGGGGGCAAGCGUUGUUCGGAAUUACUGGGCGUAAAGCGCACGUAGGCGGAUUUGUUAGUCAGGGGUGAAAUCCCGAGGCUCAACCUCGGAACUGCCUUUGAUACUGGGGAUCUCGAGUCCGGAAGAGGUGAGUGGAACUGCGAGUGUAGAGGUGAAAUUCGUAGAUAUUCGCAAGAACACCAGUGGCGAAGGCGGCUCACUGGUCCGGUACUGACGCUGAGGUGCGGAAAGCGUGGGGAGCAAACA